rnacentral:rRNA from 1 species
AUUGAACGCUGGCGGCAGGCUUAACACAUGCCAGUCGAACGAGUGGCGGACGGGCGAGUAAUCUAUGGGUCUCUGCCCGAUAGAGGGGUAUAACUACUAGAAACGGUGCCUAAUACCGCAUACUAUCGGAUGCACCCAUAUGGUUUUAGCUAGUAGGUGGGGUAAAGGCUCCCCUAGGCGCCUAGCUCUAGCUGGUCUGAGAGGAUGAUCAGCGACACUGGGACUGAGACACGUGCCAGACUCCUACGGGAGGCAGGAGUGGGGAAUAUUGCACAAUGGGCGCAAGCCUGAUGCAGCCAUGCCGCGUGUAUGAAGAAGGCCUUAGGGUUGUAAAGUACUUUCAUCGGGGAGGCGUUACCCGCAGAAGAAGCACCGGCUAACGCCGUGCCAGCAGCCGCGGUAAUAC